UUCCAGACUCCUACGGGAGGCAGCAGUGAGGAAUAUUGGUCAAUGGACGCAAGUCUGAACCAGCCAAGUAGCGUGCAGGAUGACGGCCCUCCGGGUUGUAAACUGCUUUUAGUUGGGAAUAAAAGGGGGCUCGUGAGCCCCGUAUUGUAUGUACCAUCAGAAAAAGGACCGGCUAAUUCCGUGCCAGCAGCCGCGGUAAUACGGAGGAUGCGAGCGUUAUCCGGAUUUAUUGGGUUUAAAGGGUGCGCAGGCGGCACGGCAAGCCGGCGGUCAAAUCGCGGGGCUCAACCCCGCCCAGCCGUCGGAACUGCCGGGCUAGAGUGGGCGAGAAGUGCGCGGAAUGCGUGGUGUAGCGGUGAAAUGCAUAGAUAUCACGCAGAACUCCGAUUGCGAAGGCAGCGCACCGGCGCCCUACUGACGCUCAGGCACGAAAGCGUGGGUAUCGAACAGGAUUAGAUACCCUCGUAC
rnacentral:rRNA from 1 species